rnacentral:rRNA from 1 species
AUUGAACGCUGGCGGCAUGCUUUACACAUGCAAGUCGAACGGUAACAGGCCUUCGGGUGCUGACGAGUGGCGAACGGGUGCGUAAUGCAUCGGAACGUGCCCAGAGGUGGGGGAUAACGCAGCGAAAGCUGUGCUAAUACCGCAUGUGAUCUGAGGAUGAAAGCGGGGGACCAAGCAGCAAUGUUUGGCCUCGCGCCUCUGGAGCGGCCGAUGUCAGAUUAGGUAGUUGGUGGGGUAAAGGCCUACCAAGCCGACGAUCUGUAGCUGGUCUGAGAGGACGACCAGCCACACUGGGACUGAGACACGGCCCAGACUCCUACGGGAGGCAGCAGUGGGGAAUUUUGGACAAUGGGCGCAAGCCUGAUCCAGCAAUGCCGCGUGCGGGAAGAAGGCCUUCGGGCUGUAAACCGCUUUUGUACGGAACGAAAAGGCUCUGGCUAAUACCUGGGGCUGAUGACGGUACCGUAAGAAUAAGCACCGGCUAACUACGUG